AGUAAGGUCAGCUAAAUAAGCUUUUGGGCCCAUACCCCAAACAUGUUGGUUAGACUCCCUCCCGUACUA
rnacentral:tRNA from 1 species